rnacentral:rRNA from 1 species
AUUGAACGCUGGCGGAAUGCUUUACACAUGCAAGUCGAGCGGCAGCGCGGGGGCAACCCUGGCGGCGAGCGGCGAACGGGUGAGUAACAUAUCGGAACGUACCCAGUCGUGGGGGAUAACUAUCCGAAAGGAUAGCUAAUACCGCAUACGUCCUGAGGGAGAAAGCGGGGGAUCGCAAGACCUCGCGCGAUUGGAGCGGCCGAUAUCGGAUUAGCUAGUUGGUGGGGUAAAGGCUCACCAAGGCGACGAUCCGUAGCGGGUCUGAGAGGAUGAUCCGCCACACUGGAACUGAGACACGGUCCAGACUCCUACGGGAGGCAGCAGUGGGGAAUUUUGGACAAUGGGCGCAAGCCUGAUCCAGCCAUGCCGCGUGAGUGAAGAAGGCCUC